rnacentral:rRNA from 1 species
UUAGUUUCAGUUAUCUGCUCCUGGGGGUAUCGAAUAUGGGGUGCCUUGUUACGACUUCACCCCAGUCAUGAAUCCUACCGUGGUAAUCGCCCUCCUUACAGUUAGGCUAACUACUUCUGGUAAAACCCACUCCCUGGCGGUCAGCGGGCGGUGUGUACAAGACCCGGGGAACGUGUUGCUACGACAUGCUGAUCGCGAUUGCCUGGCGAUUCCGACUUCCGCGAUCGAGUUGCAGACUACGAUCGGACUACGAUCAGGACAUCAAGAUUGCUCCCUCUUUGGAUGACCCUCUGUCCCGACCAUUGUACUGACGUGUGAAGCCCUACCCAUAAGGGCCAUGAGGACUGGUGCUCAUUACCUUCCUCCAAGUUUGUCACCGGCAGUCUCGAUGAUGCCCUUUCGUAGCAACCAUGACAAAGGUUUAAAACCGUUGCGGGACUUAACCCAAAGCAUCUCCUGACCACGAUGACGACAGCCAUGCGACGUGCUGUCUGGUUCCGGUUCUCUUGCGAGCACUCCGUCCCUUCGGGAUUCCAGACAUGUCAAGGUAGGUAAGGUUUUUCGCGUUGCAUCAGUUAAUCACAUCAUCCACCGCUUGUGCGGGUCCCCGUCAAUUCACAGCAGGUUUUUAAUCUUUCGACCGUACUCCCGGGCAGUUAACUUCACGCGUUAGCUGCGCUACCAGGCCCGAAGGCCCCAACGAAAGCUAGUUGACAUCGUUUAGGGCGUGGACUACCAGGGUAUCUAAUCCUGUUUUGCUCCCCAUGCUUCGUGCGUGAACUCAGUGUUAUCCCAGGAGGCUGCCUUCGCCAUCGGUAGCUGCCUCCGCAUAUCCGCAUUUCCUGCCUGCGGAUCCACCUCCCUCCUGACACACUCUAGCUCGGUAGUUAAAAAUGCAGUUCCAAAGUUAAGCUCUGGGAUUUCACAUCUUUCUUUCCGAACCGCCUGCCGCUUUACGCCCAGUAAUUCCGAUUAACGCUUGUACCCCUACAGCUAUUACCGCGGCUGCUGGCGUAGUUAAUGAGCGCUCGAACCUCUUGCGAACACCGUCAGUUUGCACGGGGUAUUAUCCCGAUGCCGUUUCUUUCUGCCAAAAGUGCUUUACAACCCGAAGGCCUUCAUCGCACGCGGGAUGGCUGGAUCAGGUUUCCCCCAUUGUCCAAAAUUCCCCCCACUGCUGCCUCCCGGCGAGGAACCGGACGCUGUCUCCAGUCCCAGUGUGGCUGGUCGCCGUCCUCUCAAACCAGCUACGGAUCGUCGCCAGUGAGCCGUUACCCCACCAACUAGCUAAGUCGAUGUCGGCCGCUCUAAUGGUGCGGGACAAAGAGGUCUGCGCUUCCCCCGAAGGGCGUACGACCAGCCGUACGCUGCAGCGUAGUUAUCCCCCGCUACUGGGCGAUUCCGAUACAUAUCACCAUUCUUUUUCAUACCGGGUGAUCCGUGCUGCCGUUCGACUUGUACCUGUGUGUAAAGCAUCCCGCCAGCGUUCAAUCUGGGCCAGGAUCGAC